GGGUCAGUAGGUUGGUCGUGCCACCGGUACGUACUGGUCUCACUGAUUCCUCCUUCCCGAAGAACCGUAAUGCCAUUAAUUUGGUGUUGCGGGGAAACAGGACUGUUACUUUGAAAAAAUUAGAGUGUUUAAAGCAAGCUAACGCUUGAAUACAUUAGCAUGGAAUAAUGAAAUAGGACGAUCGAUCCUAUUUUGUUGGUUCCUAGGAUUGACGUA
rnacentral:rRNA from 1 species